GCGGACAGAUGGGAGCUUGCUCCCUGAUGUUAGCGGCCCAUUUGUGAGUAACACGUGGGUAACCUGCCUGUAAGACUGGGAUCACUCCGGGAAACCGGGGCUAAUACCGGAUGGUUGUCUGAACCGCAUGGUUCAGACAUAAAAGGUGGCUUCGGCUACCACUUACAGAUGGACCCGCGGCGCAUUAGCUAGUUGGUGAGGUAACGGCUCACCAAGGCAACGAUGCGUAGCCGACCUGAGAGGGUGAUCGGCCACACUGGGACUGAGACACGGCCCAGACUCCUACGGGAGGCAGCAGUAGGGAAUCUUCCGCAAUGGACGAAAGUCUGACGGAGCAACGCCGCGUGAGUGAUGAAGGUUUUCGGAUCGUAAAGCUCUGUUGUUAGGGAAGAACAAGUGCCGUUCAAAUAGGGCGGCACCUUGACGGUACCUAACCAGAAAGCCACGGCUAACUACGUGCCAGCAGCCGCGGUAAUACGUAGGUGGCAAGCGUUGUCCGGAAUUAUUGGGCGUAAAGGGCUCGCAGGCGGUUUCUUAAGUCUGAUGUGAAAGCCCCCGGCUCAACCGGGGAGGGUCAUUGGAAACUGGGGAACUUGAGUGCAGAAGAGGAGAGUGGAAUUCCACGUGUAGCGGUGAAAUGCGUAGAGAUGUGGAGGAACACCAGUGGCGAAGGCGACUCUCUGGUCUGUAACUGACGCUGAGGAGCGAAAGCGUGGGGAGCGAACAGGAUUAGAUACCCUGGUAGUCCACGCCGUAAACGAUGAGUGCUAAGUGUUAGGGGGUUUCCG
rnacentral:rRNA from 1 species